rnacentral:rRNA from 1 species
AGAGUUUGAUCGUGGCUCAGGAUGAACGCUAGCGGCGCGCCUAAUGCAUGUAAGUCGAGCGAUGAGGCUCCUUCGGGAGUACAUCAGCGGCAGACGGGUGAGUAACACGUAGGUGACUUGCCCUCAAGACAGGGAUAACGGGUGGAAACAUCCGCUAAUACCAGAUACCUUCCCGGGGUCGAAGCCGGGAAGAAAGCUCCGGCGCUUGAGGAGAGGCCUGCGGCCCAUCAGCUAGUUGGUGAGGUAACGGCCCACCAAGGCAAAGACGGGUAGGGGGUGUGAGAGCACGGCCCCCCACAAUGGGACUGAGAGACGGCCCAUACUUCUACGGAAGGCAGCAGCAGGGAAUAUUGCACAAUGGGCGAAAGCCUGAUGCAGCGACGCCGCGUGAGUGAAGAAGGCCUUCGGGUUGUAAAACUCUUUUCGGGAGGAAGAGAGAGGACGGUACUCCCAGAAAAAGCGUCGGCUAACUACGUGCCAGCAGCCGCGGUAAUACGUAGGACGCAAGCGUUAUCCGGAUUUACUGGGCGUAAAGCGUCUGUAGGCGGUAGAGUAAGUUGGGCGUGAAAGCUCCGGGCUUAACCCGGAGAGUGCGUUCAAUACUACUAAACUAGAGGGCGUAAGAGGGGAGCGGAAUUUCCGGUGUAGCGGUAAAAUGCGCAGAUAUCGGAAGGAACACCCGUGGCGAAGGCGGCUCCCUGGUGCGCACCUGACGCUGAGAGACGAAAGCUAGGGGAGCAAACAGGAUUAGAGACCCUGGUAGUCCUAGCCCUAAACGAUGAAUGCUAGGUGUGGGGCCGAAUGGCUCUGUGCCGGAGCCAACGCAGUAAGCAUUCCGCCUGGGGAGUACGGCCGCAAGGCUAAAACUCAAACGAAUUGACGGGACCCCGCACAAGCAGCGGAGCGUGUGGUUUAAUUCGAUUUUUACACGAAGAACCUUACCUGGAUUUGACAUGAAGGUGGUAGGGAAGCGAAAGCGGACCGACUCGUAAGAGAGCCUUCACAGGUGCUGCAUGGCUGUCGUCAGCUCGUGCCGUGAGGUGUCGGGUUAAGUCCCGUAACGAGCGCAACCCCUGCCCUUAGUUAUAAGUGUCUAAGGGGACUGCCGGCGGAAAGCCGGAGGAAGGUGGGGAUGACGUCAAGUCAGCAUGGCCUUUAUGUCCAGGGCUACACACACGCUACAAUGGCCGGUACAAUGGGCUGCGAAGCCGCGAGGUGGAGCGAAUCCGAUCAAAGCCGGUCUUAGUUCGAAUAGCAGGCUGCAACCCGCCUGCUUGAAGCUGGAGUUGCUAGUAACCGCGCGUCAGCUAUAGUGCGGUGAAUACGUUCCCGGGGUUUGUACACACCGCCCGUCACGUCAUGGGAGUCGGUAACGCCUGAAGCCGGUAGCCUAGCCCGCAAGGGGGGGCGCUGUCGAAGGCGGGACUGGCGACUGGGACGAAGUCGUAACAAGGUA